rfam:Hordeum vulgare subsp. vulgare, WGS project CAJW01000000 data, contig: morex_contig_1558389
GAAAUACUACCUCCGUCUCAAAAUUCAUGUCUUAGAUUUAUCUAUAUAUGAAUAUAUUUAAUCACAUUUAAGUAUUUAGAUACAUUCAUUUUUAAAUAAACCUAAGACAUGAAUUUUAGGACGGAGGGAGUAGGUA